CUUUAAGCAUAUUUGAUGCUAACACUUUUGUACUGUUACUUAAGUAAGAAUUUAAAUGUAGUACUUUUACUUGGAACAAAGUAUUUCUACACUGUAGUGUUGCUUGUAUUGCUUCCACUGCUGAUCUUUGCUGCUUGUUAUUCAUCUUUAAAGCUCUUUUCGUCUUUUAGCUUCAGCAAUUUAAGCCUUUAGCUUGAAAAGUUCACUAUGAAUAAACUAUUAUUAUUAUUAUUAUUAUCAGAAGAAAUUCAAAAUAAAUGUAGAACUUGCAGCACAGACAAUUCAGCAUUGCAGGGCAUCAUGUAAACGUGAUGUUCUUGUGCAUGAACAGGGCAAUACUGCCACCGCCUGGCGUCUCACCUGCACUGCAAACACUUUUUCACACAAUAAACCGGCUCACAGUCGGCAGACCAUCCUGCGUGCAUGAGGACACAGAUCUGGCUUGCAGAAUAUGGCGACAGAAUGAAAGAUUUUGUGGUUUUGUUUGUGAUUUAGAUUCAUUCCUGCACACGUGAACGCUGCUGCUGUUGGACUCAUCUUCUUGCUGUGGCGGUGAAAGAUUGUACAGCCUUAAUUUAAAGGGAGCACCAGCGGCUCCAGACCCGCCCAGCUCAUUCAGUUUGGACGCAUUUAGCACCAACUGCGUCCAAGAUGACGACCAACAGCAGGUACAAGAGUCGCGCGCCCCGGUCAGAUGAUGGAGAGGAAAAAGACUAUGUUGGAUUCGCGACGCUGCCCAACCAGGUGCACAGGAAGUCCGUGAAAAAAGGAUUUGACUUCACCCUCAUGGUGGCAGGUGAGAGUAUUUGUCCCAUACUAUAUAAAAGAAGUGGAC